UACUGCGCAGCACAAGUAGUGUCCACGAUUAUUGGGCUUAAAGCGCUUGUAGCUGGCCGAUACCGUCUCAUGUGAAAUAUUGGUGCUCAACGCCAAUGCGGGCAUGGGAUACCUAUCGGCUAGGGAGCGGGUGAGGUCAGGGGUACUUAUAGGGGAGGGGUUAAAUCCUGUAAUCCUUUAAGGACCAACGGUGGCGAAAGCGCCUGACUAGAACGCAUCCGACAGUGAGGGGCGAAGGCUAGGAGAACGAAUCGGAUUCGAUACCCGAGUAGCCCUAGCAGUAAAUUAUGCAGACUCUGGUGUUGCAAGUGUCUUGAAUGCUUGCAGUACCGUAACGUAAGUGUUAAGUCUGCCGCCUGGGGAGUACGGUCGCAAGGCUGAAACUUAAAACAAUUGACGGGGGAGCACACAAGGGGUGGAUGCUGCGGUUUAAUUGAACCCAACGUCGGAAACAUUACCAGGGGCGACGGCAGUAUGAAGGCCAGACCAAAGAUCUUACCUGACGAGCCGAGAGGUGGUGCAUGGCGGCCGUCAGCUCGUGGUGUGAACUGUCCGGUUAAGUCCGGUAAGUUGGUGAGCAAAACAAUGACGCAAAAAAUCAGGCUUACGCCUAACCUAUGCUAUAUACUCGGAGUGUAUAGCUGUAGCUACAGAAACGAUCAAGCUUUAAUCGAGAUGAGCUCAGAGAGAGAAGAAAUUCUCGACAAGUUCAUAAAGAUAGCGAUUAAUGAUCUAUCUGUAGCACCAAACCGCCUGCUAAUAAAGCAGGAGGGAAAGCGUAAGCUCUAUUCUGCAGGAUUCUACCAUUCAAAAUUGAAGAAAUUUAUGGAUAUCUCUAUGAAACGGCGCGAAAAAAUACUGAAAUAUAAAAAUGAAUACGCCGCAAAUUAUCUUGCCGGAAUAUUUGACAAAACAGGAGGUCGCGAUAUCAAGGGGAUAUAUCUAUAUAACAUCGGAAACGAAAAUCUCAUAAUAAUGGAGAAAUUGGGUUUCCAUACUUCAAACGCAUUAAAGACAAGAGUAAAGAAUGAGAAUGCAUUCAUAACACUUAUAAAUAAAUACAGUCUGAGAAUGCAGAGUUUUGUUCAUCAGCCCGGUAACGAGCGAGACCUCUAUUGAUAGUUGCAACUGGUUUAGCGAUAAGCCAAGCACUCUAUCAGGACCGCCUCUGUUUAAAGAGGAGGAAGGAAGAGGCGACGACAUGUCAGUAUGCCCCAAAUCUCCUGGGCUACACGCGGCAUACAAAGGUUGGUACAAUGAGACGCAAUGCCGAAAGGCAGAGCAAAUCCCCUAAAACCAAUCCAAGUCCGGAUUGAGGGUUGAAACUCACCCUCAUGAAGCUGGAAUCCCUAGUAAUCGCUUGUCACUAUCGAGCGGUGAAUCUGUCCCUGCUCCU
rnacentral:rRNA from 1 species